rnacentral:rRNA from 1 species
GCAAGGAAUUUUGCGCAAUGGGCGAAAGCCUGACGCAGCAACGCCGCGUGGGGGAAGAAGGCCUUCGGGUCGUAAACUCCUUUUGCGAGGGAAGAAGAUCUGACGGUACCUCGCGAAUAAGCCACGGCUAACUACGUGCCAGCAGCCGCGGUAAUACGUAGGUGGCGAGCGUUGUCCGGAUUUAUUGGGCGUAAAGCGCGCGCAGGCGGGCUGAUCAGUCCGGUGUGAAAGCUCACGGCUUAACCGUGACGAGUCGCCGGAUACUGUCAGUCUUGAGGUGUCUAGGGGAGAGCGGAAUUCCCGGUGUAGUGGUGGAAUGCGUAGAUAUCGGGAGGAACACCAGCGGCGAAGGCGGCUCUCUGGGGACUACCUGACGCUGAGGCGCGAAAGCAUGGGGAGCGAACCGG